GAAGAGAAAAUAAUAAUGAUUUCCUAAGUAGUGGCGAGCGAACGGGGAAGAGCCCAAACCGGGGGAGCGUGCUCCUUCGGGGUUGUAGGACUGCAUUUAGAAACACUCAUCAAGCUGAAGCUUCUGGAAAGGGGCGCCACAGGGCGUGAAAGCCGCGUAAGCGUACAUUGAGUGGGACGAGCAGUAUCCUGAGUAGGGCGGGACCGGAGAAAUCCUGC
rnacentral:rRNA from 1 species